CAGUUUACUUGCAUUAAAUGCAAAGCAAUUUCUGUCAUUAUUAUUACUCUGUAUAAUGUAGGCCUCCCUGUUACAGACAGAGUUUACACAGUAACUGGCCCAGAGGAAGAACAACUGAAGUAUUGGGAUUUGGUAAUAAUAUAAGGCACAUAUGAAGUCCACUCCGUGAUUUGGAAAAGUUGAGUCUGGAGUUAUUUAAGGCCAGAAUACCUCGGCACGAUAUCCCUUUCAGUACUUCUUCUCAGACUUCCUAUGCUAUUCCAUCAUCCGCCACAUGAGUCUGUAAGACUGGACAGUUGCGUUUGCUCUCCCAUCCGCGGCGGAUCCGUGCCAGUCUGAUGGAGAUGCAUGGCAGCAGCAGAACGGCUCGGCACAGCAGGACGACGCAGGGCAGAGCCACGGCCAACACAGAACUGGGUGGCAUGUAGAACGGGUACGCCUCGAUGUGGAAGACGAGAUCCCAACCAAAGAAGAGCGUGUGCAUGAUGGACAGAGUCAGAGCUAUGUAGCCCAAACCUGACUGAAGGAAGAAGAGAGAUGAAACUUCAAAUUUAGUAAAUGUUAAAAAGCUGCUAUUGUGCCUGUAUGUUGAAUGUUCAUUUGCGUGCUAAUCAAA